CGUUCCCUUGCUGGAGAGAGGUGGCCGCGCAGCACAGCGCAGGCCAUCCACCGAAGGAGCAAGCCGCAGCCGCCAGCCAGGGUGGUGCGGUGAAUCUCUCAGGUAAAGCGGACAGCAGGCAAAUC
rnacentral:ncRNA from 2 species